rnacentral:lncRNA from 1 species
GGUUCAGACUGAGCUUUGCAGGGACGGACCCCACAUGACUGCCCAGCAUGGUUUACAGCUGCUGUGAGUGACCUUUAAACCCGCUAAUGCUCCCUAAAAUCAUCUUAACACCUGUGAAACACCCACCAUCGUCAAUGUCUAUUUACAAAAUUAUUCAGUAAGUUUAGGUUGAAGAAAAGUGUUGUAAAAGAGGGACAGGCCGAGAGCUAAAACAUCUGGGAGCAGAAGUCAGUACUCAGGUCAGUGUGACGAAGAAGCUGGAAAUGGUUCCCUAUGGGCCAUCUGCACUGAAGGGCGAUAACUCUGCUGUGAAGACACACUUCUGAUGGAGAAGAGAAACUGUCUAUAAAGAAUGCAAGCUCACAUGUUCUUACAAGAAUGGCGACAAGACAGACAGCCUAGGGACAUUUUACUUUUGAGAACUGAGGUGGAAUCAAAGUUGGUGGAAACAGAAUGCUACUGUCGCAGAAUGACAUGAGUGCAGCAGGGGGAGCAAGCCAGCCACCCACAGUCAGCCACCUGACCUGACAGGUUCAGAUGGAUGAAGAUUUUACCCAAUUUAUUGUUAAUAUUAUACAUAUACAUAAAGAAUUUGAGUCAUACAGUAGCUUUCUUUAUGAAAUAGUUCUACAUAUAUGUUCAUGAUAUGUUUAUGAAACUGAUUGACCCUGGCAUCAUCACUCCUGCUGGUUGAUAGGUUCCAUUUUAUAAAGGAAGAAACAGCCUUGAUAUCGCAUCAAGAAAGAGACUUCAUGGAGCACUGCAUCCAGGAGUAGAAGCCGUGAGGGCCCAACCCAG